CGGAGGGGAUAAAGAGAUAGAGAAAGUGGGGACACGGAAAAGCAGAAUAGAAAAGGAAUAGAAUAGAUAGAGAAAUAGAGAGAGAAAGAAACGGACAGAAGAAAAAGGAGAAAAACAAAAAAAAGGAUCAUCUUCUUUAUUUUUUUACCACCCAUAAAACUUCAUUUUUGCCAACACCACCUCCACCUACACCCAUCGGAAAAAAUCCCGUCACCACCCCUUGCCUAUUUAAAUCUAAAAAAAAAAAAAAGAGUACAAUACAAAACCUUCACUAAACAAACCCCAAAACAAAAACAAAAAAAAAAAAUCAUUGGUUUUCUUCUUCAUUUUUGGUAGUUUGUUUUCUGGGUCAAAGUUGGUCUCAUAAGUGGCUGUUUGUGUGCGAAAAUAUGCUGAUUGGUUGAGGUCUUGUUCGUCGAGUCCGUCGGAGCUCCAGUCACCAUUGAAAAGCUUGUAAAGACAAAGAAGGUUUGUGUUAAUGAUUAUAAUGCUUGGUGAUGCUGAGAAAUUGAUGGAUUGUUCUUUUGUUCAAUGUUACACCACAAAACAGUGCAAAAAUAGUAUUUUAAAAUCAGAGGCCACAAACAAGACCUUGCAGAGGCUCCAACACACCUUCAUCAUCUGUGGAUUGAAGAGUUCAGACGAAGUUUUAUAAAAUAAUGAAUUAUAUAUCAUUUUUACGAUGAAAAGUAGAGGAAAACAUAUUUGAAUUUUCUUUUAAAAAGAAUUUUGAAGUAAAAGAAAAAAAAUUAGUUUGGUAAUUGUGAUGUCACGGCUACUUUUCUUUUCUUCCCUUAAGAUUAUGUUUGGUUUUAAUUCUUAGAUUCGAUUUUAAAUUUAAGUUUUUGAAAUACUCUGGCGUUGAAAUUAUAGAUUUCAGUUAUAGAUUCUCCUGUUCUAAGAUA